rnacentral:rRNA from 1 species
AUUGAACCCUGGCGGCAGGCCUAACACAUGCAAGUCGAGCGGCAGCGGGGAGUAGCUUGCUACUUUGCCGGCGAGCGGCGGACGGGUGAGUAAUGUCUGGGAAACUGCCUGAUGGAGGGGGAUAACUACUGGAAACGGUAGCUAAUACCGCAUAACGUCGCAAGACCAAAGAGGGGGACCUUCGGGCCUCUUGCCAUCAGAUGUGCCCAGAUGGGAUUAGCGAGUAGGUGGGGUAACGGCUCACCUAGGCGACGACCCCUAGCUGGUCUGAGAGGAUGACCAGCCACACUGGAACUGAGACACGGUCCAGACUCCUACGGGAGGCAGCAGUGGGGAAUAUUGCGCAAUGGGCGCAAGCCUGAUGCAGCCAUGCCGCGUGUAUGAAGAAGGCCUUCGGGUUGUAAAGUACUUUCAGCGGGGAGGAAGGUGUUGAGGUUAAUAACCUCAGCAAUUGACGUUACCCGCAGAAGAAGCACCGGCUAACUCCGUGCCAGCAGCCGCAGUAA